rnacentral:rRNA from 1 species
UGGGGAAUAUUGCACAAUGGGCGAAAGCCUGAUGCAGCGACGCCGCGUGAGGGAUGACGGCCUUCGGGUUGUAAACCUCUUUCAGCAGGGACGAAGCGCAAGUGACGGUACCUGCAGAAGAAGCACCGGCUAACUACGUGCCAGCAGCCGCGGUAAUACGUAGGGUGCAAGCGUUGUCCGGAAUUACUGGGCGUAAAGAGUUCGUAGGCGGUUUGUCGCGUCGGUUGUGAAAACCAGCAGCUCAACUGCUGGCUUGCAGGCGAUACGGGCAGACUUGAGUACUGCAGGGGGGACUGGAAUUCCUGGUGUAGCGGGGAAAUGCGCAGAUAUCAGGAGGAACACCGGGGGCGGAGGCGGGUCUCUGGGCAGUAACUGACGCUGAGGAGCGAAAGCGUGGGUAGCGAACAGG